rnacentral:rRNA from 1 species
CACGUAUUUAGCCGGGGCUUCUUAGUCAAGUACCGUCAUUUUCUUCCUUGCUGAUAGAAGUUUACAUACCGAAAUACUUCUUCCUUCACGCGGCGUCGCUGCAUCAGGGUUUCCCCCAUUGUGCAAUAUUCCCUACUGCUGCCUCCCGUAGGAGUUUGGGCCGUGUCUCAGUCCCAAUGUGGCCGAUCACUCUCCCAAGUCGGCUACUGAUCGUCGCCUUGGUAGGCCGUUACCCCACCAACUAGCUAAUCAGACGCGGGUCCAUCUUGUACUACCGGAGUUUUUUACACUGUAUCAUGCGAUACUGUGCACUUAUGCGGUAUUAGCAGCUGUUUCCAACUGUUAUCCCCCUGUACAAGGCAGGUUACCCACGCGUUACUCACCCGUCCGCCACUCAGUCAUAUGAAUCUUUGUUCCGAAGAACUCCGUCUCAUAUGCUUCGUUCGACUUGCAUGUAUUAAGCACGCCGCCAGCGUUCAUCCUGACGCCGAGGAUACAAACUCU